CAGCCUCUUCUAUGUGCUGAAUAUUAUGUACCCCAAGGAAGCAGCCCUGACUCUGGAAUUUAUCCAGAGGAGCCUGCUGGGUAUCAAUCCGGAACGGGGGUCUAAAGCAGAAAAAAAAGGGCACAAAACAGUACAACAUUCCACCAAAACUGCUUCGAUUCCUGUCGGACCUGAGUGACUUCCAGAAUCCUUGGAAGAUUUAAAGCCAUAGUACCAUCUGGACUGGAGAGAUGUGUGUGUGUGUGUGUGUCUCUUUCAACAGUUACGCUAUUGUACCCCCAUCACCAACUAGGCACUCAAAACUAUGUUAAUUUGUGUUUUGUUCUUAAUAGUUCAUUCCAUUUACUGUGAUGCAACAAACUGUUAUGGUACAAAAAUGUUUUUUUGACAGUAUAUUGGUUAUUUUUCGCACAAUAGCUGUAGAAUAUAUGUAUCAAAUUUUCUAGCUUAAUCUGCACUCUGUUCAUGAAUUUGGUUGAGGUUUGUUGCAUUGCUAUUCAGGACAACAGGGUCAACUUUUUUAUCUUUAUAUGUCAAGUAUGACAUCAAGUGUCAUUCUUAAAAGAUAAUGUUUCAGUGUGUUUUAGUUAUGUUAAACUGUGAAAUUGGUCAUUUUGACCCAAACU